UUGACCUCGGAUCAGGUAGGAAUACCCGCUGAACUUAAGCAUAUCAAUAAGUCGGGAGGAAAA
rnacentral:rRNA from 1 species